GAAGGUUGUGUCUUUUCCAAUUAAUUUCUAAGGUUGUGAAUCCACUUAUGUUGAAAGGUUGUGUCUUUUGAAAAAAUAGUGUAAAGGGUUGUGUCUUUUCUAAAAGUUCUAUGCUGUAAGGUUGUGUCUUUUCCAAUUAAUUCUUAAGGUUGUGAACUUCAAUUAUGUUGAAAGGUUGUGUCUUUUGAAAAAAUAGUGUAAAGGGUUGUGUCUUUUCUAAAAGUUCUAUGUUGUAAGGUUGUGUCUUUUCCAAUUAAUUCUUAAGGUUGUGAACUUCAAUUGUGUUGAAAGGUUGUCAUUUGAAAAAUAUGUGCAGAGGGUUAUGUCUUUUCUAAAAGUUAUAUGUUGUAAGGUUGUGUCUUUCUAAAAAUAGUCUAAAAGUUGUGACUAUUCACUAAUAUCUUUUAAAAAGUGAGAAAUUGUAAGUAUUAAAAGAAUGUGACUAUUCAUAUUGAAGGGUUGUGACUAUUCAAAUAGGCUUUAAAAAAAUCUAUAAAUAGUCUCUCCCAUGCAUUUUUCAAAUCAAAUUUUUACUAAUCUACUAAUAAUAAAAUGGUGAAAAAAAUAAUGU
rnacentral:lncRNA from 1 species